rnacentral:rRNA from 1 species
AGGGAAUAUUGCGCAAUGGGCGAAAGCCUGACGCAGCGACGCCGUGUGAGCGAUGAAGGUCUUCGGAUUGUAAAGCUCUGUCAGGGGGGAAGAACCUGCCUGGUAACCCCAGGCACUGACGGUACCCCCAGAGGAAGCUCCGGCUAACUCCGUGCCAGCAGCCGCGGUAAUACGGGGGGAGCUAGUGUUGUUCGGAUUCAUUGGGCGUAAAGGGAGUGUAGGCGGGAACCUAAGUCAGGGGUGAAAAUUUAAGGCUCAACCUUGAACUUGCCUUUGAUACUGGGUUUCUCGAGUAUGGAAGAGGGCGAUGGAAUUCCUGGUGUAGCGGUGGAAUGCGUAGAUAUCAGGAGGAACACCAAUUGCGAAGGCAGUCGCCUGGGACAAUACUGACGCUGAAACUCGAAAGCGUGGGGAGCAAAC